rnacentral:siRNA from 1 species
UCACUCUCCUCAGAUGUACCUC